UAUAUAUAUAUAUAUUCGUGAUCGAUAUAAACUUGAAGAGUUGCGCAACUAGUUUUUUUUUAUCGAACUGUGAUUCGCUAUUAUAAAGAAAUACUUUUGCUUGCGAAUUAGAUCUCGACGAUGAAUGUCAGUGUUAGUUGCAUUGAGCUCUAAUUUGGCAGCUCACUUUUUUAGUAGAUUGGUGUCUUGAUACCGUGGCAUGGUUCUUCCUUGAUCAAAGGAUAUCCGGGGAAAAGUUGAGAGAGGAGAGGGAAUGCACUUUUUGAUAUUUGGAACGAAUAUUAUAUUCUUUAUUUAUGUAAUCUCACAGAUUGAUGACGACAAGUGUAAAGUUGUUUUUUUUAAUUGAUUAAAAAAAAAUGUCAUUUCUUUUUAAUUUUUUUUUUGUUUCUUUUAAUAAAUAAAAAUAGUAAAAAAAAAAAUAUUCCUUCCAAAUGCAACGUUGAGAUUAUAUUUGCCUGCUACACCGGGUGCACUGGGAUGGUUUUUCUUUAUAUCACAUUUUCUUUGUGUUGCGGGAUCUUGCGUAAUAAUAAACAAAUAUGGCAGAAAGCCUGAUGAUUAUCGAAGAACUCUCCUUUUACUCUCGUGAAUUUAUAUAUCUUUUAUAAUUUCAACUUCACUUUCUUCUAUUACGUAAUUAGCGUGAACGAUAAAUCAUGUGAAAAAUUAUUAAAAAUCAUUAAAUUGAACGAUCAUUGACAUUUUUGAGUAUUGAAACAAUGUACGAAUCGAAAGUUAUUUUUGAUUAGUAGACACUGCGUUAAAAAUGAAAGUCACUGUUAGACAGGUAUUCUCAACUUAUAAACUUAAAGAACAGUGGAUAAAGUAGAUUUUAGGUAUGGAGAGAGAAGGAAAAAGGCCACGUAGCCAUCUUUGAAGAUUAAAUUCGUAACCGAAAGCUAAGACACUAAUUCUAAAUCACAAAAGUAGGCAAAGAGGGGGCGAAAGUAAUCUCCUGUGCCACGGUAGCGGACACCGGCGAAAAAACUGAAAUCGUGGAUUAAGAACAUUAAAAGAAAAAAAAAAAAAGAAAAAAAAAGAAGAACAAAAAAGCAAAGAA